rnacentral:rRNA from 1 species
UACGUAGGAGACGAGCGUUGUCCGGAUUUACUGGGCGUAAAGAGCGCGCAGGCGGUCGUCCAAGUCGCGUGUGAAAGCCCCCGGCUCAACUGGGGAGGGUCACGCGAUACUGGUCGACUCGAAGGCAGGAGAGGGUAGUGGAAUUCCCGGUGUAGUGGUGAAAUGCGUAGAUAUCGGGAGGAACACCUGUGGCGAAGGCGGCCGACUGGGCCGACCCUGACGCUGAGGCGCGAAGGCGUGGGGAGCGAACGGG